AACCAUNCAUGUCGCGUGCAGGAAGACUGAUCUAUGGUUCGUAAACUGCUUUUGUACGGGAAUAAACCUACUUACGUGUAGGUACUGAAUGUACCGUAAGAAUAAGGAUCGGCUAACUCCGUGCCAGCAGCCCGCGGUAAUACUCCC
rnacentral:rRNA from 1 species